rnacentral:rRNA from 1 species
GAUGAACGCUAGCGGGAGGCUUAACACAUGCAAGUCGAGGGGCAGCACGGGGUAGCAAUACUCUGGUGGCGACCGGCGCAUGGGUGAGUAACGCGUAUGCAACCUACCCUGUACAGGGGGAUAACCCGGAGAAAUUCGGACUAAUACCCCAUAAAGAUAUUGAGUGGCAUCAUUUGAUAUUUAAAGUUCCGACGGUACGGGAUGGGCAUGCGUAACAUUAGCUAGUUGGUAAGGUAACGGCUUACCAAGGCCACGAUGUUUAGGGGUCCUGAGAGGGUGAUCCCCCACACUGGUACUGAGACACGGACCAGACUCCUACGGGAGGCAGCAGUGAGGAAUAUUGGUCAAUGGGCGCAAGCCUGAACCAGCCAUCCCGCGUGAAGGAAGAAAGCGCUAUGCGUUGUAAACUUCUUUUCCAGGGGAAGAAAACCUGAUACGUGUAUCGGCUUGCCGGUACCCUGGGAAUAAGCAUCGGCUAACUCCGUGCCAGCCGCCGCGGUAAAAC